UGACAGUACUCCUACGGGGAGGCAGCAGUGGGGGAAUAUUGCACAAUGGGCGCAAGCCUGAUGCAGCCAUGCCGCGUGUGUGAAGAAGGCCUUCGGGUUGUAAAGCACUUUCAGUCGUGAGGAAGGUAGUGUAGUUAAUAGCUGCAUUAUUUGACGUUAGCGACAGAAGAAGCACCGGCUAACUCCGUGCCAGCAGCCGCGGUAAUACGGAGGGUGCGAGCGUUAAUCGGAAUUACUGGGCGUAAAGCGCAUGCAGGUGGUUUGUUAAGUCAGAUGUGAAAGCCCGGGGCUCAACCUCGGAAUAGCAUUUGAAACUGGCAGACUAGAGUACUGUAGAGGGGGGUAGGAAUUUCAGGUGUAGCGGUGAAAUGCGUAGAGAUCUGAAGGAAUACCGGUGGCGGAGGCGGCCCCCUGGACAGAUACUGACACUCAGAUGCGAAAGCGUGGGGAGCAAACAGGAUUAGAUACCCUGGUAG
rnacentral:rRNA from 1 species